UCUAUCUCCCUCUUAUGGAAUAAACACUCUAGAAAAGUUUCAAGUAAAAAUAAGUGCAUCAAAGUCUUGAAAGAAUAUGAUCUUCAAGCAACCUUCAAGUUCAUUAUGAUCAACAAAACACUUUCAUUCGAUCUCUCCAUUUUUCUUGCUGGUGGCUGGAAAAUGAUGAACAACAACAUAUAUAGAGGCAAUGAUCAUAAUGGGUGUGAGAGGAGUAAUAGAUUCAUAAGCUCACUUCAAGUUGGUACAUAUGAUCAUGAACAUCACUAAUAGUAAGGAUGUUUCGAGUACAUUUCGAGUCGUUCAAGAAAUCCGUGUUCAUCUGCAAAGGUUUGGAUGUUCGUAGACAUUGAGCUAUUCUAUCACAUAUAUCGUGUACUUGUUGAACUUCUCUAUCUUGUGUGCCCUAGUUAAACUGAAGGGAAACUAAGGUAGAUCAAUGGAGAUACUCUAAGAUUGACAUAUGCAUUCACUAAAUAACGAAGAUGUUGAAGCGCAUUUUCAUUAAACUAAUCAUGUUGUAAAAUCUCUAGAAUAAAUUCUGUACACUUCAUGUAAGAUCCUGGUUUUUAUAUCAAUAAUAUUUCAAAACGUCUCAUUUAGAGGUCGUUUGUUAUAA